GCUGAUAUGGCUCAGUCGGUAGAACGCAACAUUGAUAAGGGUGAGGUACUGAGUUCUACUCUGGGUAUCAGCACCA
rnacentral:tRNA from 1 species